rnacentral:rRNA from 1 species
UACGUAGGGGGCAAGCGUUGUCCGGAUUUAUUGGGCGUAAAGAGCGUGUAGGCGGCCAGACACGUCAGCUGUGAAAACUCGAGGCUCAACCUCGAGACGUCGGUUGAAACCGUCUGGCUAGAGUCCGGAAGAGGAGAGUGGAAUUCCCGGUGUAGCGGUGAAAUGCGCAGAUAUCGGGAAGAACACCCGUGGCGAAGGCGGCUCUCUGGGACGGUACUGACGCUGAGACGCGAAAGCGUGGGGAGCGAACAGG